rnacentral:rRNA from 1 species
AGUGAACGCUGGCGGUAGGCCUAACACAUGCAAGUCGAACGGCAGCACAGUAAGAGCUUGCUCUUACGGGUGGCGAGUGGCGGACGGGUGAGGAAUACAUCGGAAUCUACUUUUUCGUGGGGGAUAACGUAGGGAAACUUACGCUAAUACCGCAUACGACCUACGGGUGAAAGCAGGGGAUCUUCGGACCUUGCGCGAUUGAAUGAGCCGAUGUCGGAUUAGCUAGUUGGCGGGGUAAAGGCCCACCAAGGCGACGAUCCGUAGCUGGUCUGAGAGGAUGGUCCGCCACACUUGAACUUGGACACCGUUCAGACUCCUAAGGGAGGGAGCAGUGGGGAAUAUUUGACAAUUGGCGGCAGCCUGGUUCAACCAGACCGCGGUGGGUAAGAAAGCCUUCCGGUUUGAAAGCCCUUUUGUUGGGAAAGAAAAGCAGCAGGUUAAUACCCCGCUGUUCUGACGGUACCCAAAGAAUAAGCACCGGCUAACUUCGUG